AUUGAACGCUGGCGGCAGGCUUAACACAUGCAAGUCGAACGAGUGGCGGACGGGUGAGUAAUGUCUGGGAAACUGCCCGAUGGAGGGGGAUAACUACUGGAAACGGUAGCUAAUACCGCAUACCAUCGGAUGUGCCCAGAUUGGAUUAGCUAGUAGGGGGGGUAACGGCUCACCUAGGCGACGAUCCCUAGCGGGUCUGAGAGGAUUACCAGCCACACUGUAACUGUGACCCGGCCCAGACUCCUACGGGAGGCAGCAGUGGGGUAUAUUGCACAAUGGGCGCAAGCCUGAUGCAGCCAUGCCGCGUGUAGGAAGAAGGCCUUAGGGUUGUAAAGUACUUUCAGCGGGGAGGCGUUACCCGCAGAAGAAGCACCGGCUAACUCCGUGCCAGCCGCCGCGGUAAUUC
rnacentral:rRNA from 1 species